CCGCUCCCUCUUCCCUGCUCCGCCCCGAGGGCCCGGCGCUGACUUCCUGGGCUGGCGGUGGAGGGGUCCCCCAGACCGGGAGUGGACGCCAGGCUCUGCAUUUCUCGGGAACCAAGUGGGGUGGGCCUUCCCUGGGUCCCUCCCUCCCGGACGGGAUAAAUAAGCCGGGGCUACUUGGAAACGAUUUGCGCAAUGCCGGGUUCGGGCGUCCGUUUGGGGAACUCAGAUGCCUGCGGCAGCUGAUCUACUCUGUGCUAUGCUGAGCCAGACACCACCACGCUUUGCCUCCAGGAGCAAGUCUUAACUAGAGAGAGAUCAAAGAAAAAGACAACUAGGGACGACUGCCAAGAGUGCAAUAAAUAUAAAGUUCAGC
rnacentral:lncRNA from 1 species